rnacentral:rRNA from 1 species
UACGAAGGGGGCUAGCGUUGUUCGGAAUUACUGGGCGUAAAGCGCGCGCAGGCGGUUCUUCAAGUCAGAGGUGAAAGCCCAGAGCUCAACUCUGGAAUGGCCUUUGAGACUAGAGAACUAGGGUACGGGAGAGGUGAGUGGAAUUCCGAGUGUAGAGGUGAAAUUCGUAGAUAUUGGGAAGAACACCGGUGGCGAAGGCGGCUCACUGGCUCAUAUCUGACGCUCAGGCGCGACAGCGUGGGGAUCAAACAGG